AGACCCGAAACCCGGUGAUCUAGCCAUGGGCAGGUUGAAGGUUGGGUAACACUAACUGGAGGACCGAACCGACUAAUGUUGAAAAAUUAGCGGAUGACCUGUGGCUGGGGGUGAAAGGCCAAUCAAACCGGGAGAUAGCUGGUUCUCCCCGAAAGCUAUUUAGGUAGCGCCUCGUGAAUUCAUCUCCGGGGGUAGAGCACUGUUUCGGCUAGGGGGCCAUCCCGGCUUACCAACCCGAUGCAAACUGCGAAUACCGGAGAAUGUUAUCACGGGAGACACACGGCGGGUGCUAACGUCCGUCGUGAAGAGGGAAACAACCCAGACCGCCAGCUAAGGUCCCAAAGUCAUGGUUAAGUGGGAAACGAUGUGGGAAGGCCCAGACAGCCAGGAUGUUGGCUUAGAAGCAGCCAUCAUUUAAAGAAAGCGUAAUAGCUCACUGGUCGAGUCGGCCUGCGCGGAAGAUGUAACGGGGCUAAACCAUGCACCGAAGCUGCGGCAGCGACACUGUGUGUUGUUGGGUAGGGGAGCGUUCUGUAAGCCUGUGA
rnacentral:rRNA from 2 species